rnacentral:rRNA from 1 species
CUCCGGUUGAUCCCGCCGGACCCGACUGCUAUCGGAUUGAGAUUUAGCCAUGCGAGUCGAACGUCCCCCUGUUGCGGGGGGCGUGGCGUACGGCUCAGUAACACGUAGUCAACCUGCCCUGGAGACAAGGACAACCCCGGGAAACUGGGAUUAAUCCUUGAUAGGUCAUCUCAUCUGGAAGGAGAGAUGGCUUAAAGGGGUACGCGGGCUUCUUCCGCGAAUCCGCUCCAGGAUGGGACUGCGUCCGAUCAGGCUGUUGGCGGGGUAAUGGCCCACCAAACCUGUAACCGGUACGGGCCUUGAGAGAGGUGGCCCGGAGAUGGACACUGAGAGAAGGGUCCAGGUCCUACGGGGCGCAGCAGGCGCGAAACCUUCGCAAUGCGCGAAAGCGUGACGAGGUUAAUCCGAGUGACUCCCGCUGAGGGGGUCUUUUGUCAGCUGUAAAUAGGCAGGCGAAUAAGGGGAGGGCAAGCCUGGUGUCAGCCGCCGCGGUAAUACCAGCUCCUCGAGUGGUCGGGGCGAUUAUUGGGCCUAAAGCAUCCGUAGCCGGUUCCGUAGGUCCUCUGUUAAAUCCAACCGCUUAACGGUUGACCUGCAGAGGAUACCGCGGGACUAGGAGGCGGGAGAGGCGGACGGUAUUCCGCGUGUAGGGGUAAAAUCCUUUGAUCCGCGGAGGACCACCAGUGGCGAAGGCGGUCCGCCAGAACGCGCUCGACGGUGAGGGAUGAAAGCUGGGGGAGCGAACCGGAUUAGAUACCCGGGUAGUCCCAGCCGUAAACGAUGCUAGCUAGAUGAUUCAUUCGCAAGUCGCGAAUGAAGUGUCGCAGGGAAGCCGUUAAGCUAGCCGCCUGGGGAGUACGGUCGCAAGACUGAAACUUAAAGGAAUUGGCGGGGGAGCA